rnacentral:tRNA from 1 species
GCUGGUGUAGCUCAGUUGGUAGAGCAGCGGUUUUGUAAACCGCCGGUCGCAAGUUCGAGUCUUGUCACCAGCUCAA